UACGAAGGGGGCUAGCGUUGUUCGGAAUUACUGGGCGUAAAGCGCACGUAGGCGGACAUUUAAGUCAGGGGUGAAAUCCCGGGGCUCAACCUCGGAACUGCCUUUGAUACUGGGUGUCUUGAGUGUGGAAGAGGUCAGUGGAAUUGCGAGUGUAGAGGUGAAAUUCGUAGAUAUUCGCAGGAACACCAGUGGCGAAGGCGGCUGACUGGUCCACAACUGACGCUGAGGUGCGAAAGCCAGGGGAGCGAACGGG
rnacentral:rRNA from 1 species